rnacentral:sRNA from 1 species
ACCCACUCCAUCUGCGUCAUAUCAACUCCGAAACGAGGCAGCAAACAAAAGAACACAUCAAAAACAAGGCAAGACAACAUCAAAGGGGCUUGGACAUAAAACGGAGAAGCAGGAUUUUAAAGUAAACCGAGAGCAGGAUCGAUGAAACACGAGAAAUGAGAAGACACCUAUGCAGUUUAGCCGUAACAAGCUACACGCUUGAUCAAAGGAGCCAGACGCUCGAAGCUCCAAACACACACACCCGCAACAUUCAGAAAAUACGAGAACCAGACGCCAAACCGAUAUAAUCCGAGCAAAAUCACCGGAUUGAGAGCAGCAAGAGAACCAAGCUCCAAGGAAGCUCUCAGAACUGACGUAAACGCAAAGAGACCUCAACAACCCUCCAAAAAUCUACUUUCGUCGUCACGCAAGUUGGAUCAGAAUGGAAAGAUGCAGCACCACUUGCCUCCAUGCCGUCAAGCUCCGGCGACCAUCACUCACACGCCUGAAGAAACUCGGACCCUGAUGCCAAAUCGAAGAAGAAAGCUGAGAACCUCAGCAACAGUAAGCCUCAUUAAGAGGUAGCCCUUUCGCAGCGCCGGACACUGGAGAGGCAAUCGGAAAAGACGAUGAAAAGCUUUGGUAAAUUUGAGAGAAAAAGUCGUCGCUUAAAGAUAUAUAUCAUUUUUUAAGUUUAAAAUUUAUUAUACUGUUUUUACAUAGAAGUUUAGAAUUUAGUAUUUUAAAGUUAAAGUUAAUUUGCGUAAAUUCGUGGAAAAUAGUAUAAUACAACAUUAUAUUCAUAUAGAUUAUAUGUCGUACAACUUGUUUAU